rnacentral:rRNA from 1 species
GAUGAACGCUGGCGGCGUGCCUAAUACAUGCAAGUCGAGCGAACAGACGAGGAGCUUGCUCCUCUGACGUUAGCGGCGGACGGGUGAGUAACACGUGGAUAACCUACCUAUAAGACUGGGAUAACUUCGGGAAACCGGAGCUAAUACCGGAUAAUAUAUUGAACCGCAUGGUUCAAUAGUGAAAGACGGUUUUGCUGUCACUUAUAGAUGGAUCCGCGCCGAAUUAGCUAGUUGGUAAGGUAACGGCUUACCAAGGCAACGAUGCGUAGCCGACCUGAGAGGGUGAUCGGCCACACUGGAACUGAGACACGGUCCAGACUCCUACGGGAGGCAGCAGUAGGGAAUCUUCCGCAAUGGGCGAAAGCUUGACGGAGCAACGCCGCGUGAGUGAUGAAGGUCUUCGGAUCGUAAAACUCUGUUAUUAGGGAAGAACAAAUGUGUAAGUAACUAUGCACGUCUUGACGGUACCUAAUCAGAAAGCCACGGCUAACUACGUG